rnacentral:rRNA from 1 species
AGCGGCGGAUGGGUGAGUAACACGUGGGGAACCUGCCCCUAAGUCUGGGAUACCAUUUGGAAACAGGUGCUAAUACCGGAUAAUAAAGCAGAUCGCAUGAUCAGCUUUUGAAAGGCGGCGUAAGCUGUCGCUAAGGGAUGGCCCCGCGGUGCAUUAGCUAGUUGGUAAGGUAACGGCUUACCAAGGCGACGAUGCAUAGCCGAGUUGAGAGACUGAUCGGCCACAUUGGGACUGAGACACGGCCCAAACUCCUACGGGAGGCAGCAGUAGGGAAUCUUCCACAAUGGACGCAAGUCUGAUGGAGCAACGCCGCGUGAGUGAAGAAGGUUUUCGGAUCGUAAAGCUCUGUUGUUGGUGAAGAAGGAUAGAGGUAGUAACUGGCCUUUAUUUGACGGUAAUCAACCAGAAAGUCACGGCUAACUACGUGCCAGCAGCCGCGGUAAUACGUAGGUGGCAAGCGUUGUCCGGAUUUAUUGGGCGUAAAGCGAGCGCAGGCGGAAAAAUAAGUCUAAUGUGAAAGCCCUCGGCUUAACCGAGGAACUGCAUCGGAAACUGUUUUUCUUGAGUGCAGAAGAGGAGAGUGGAACUCCAUGUGUAGCGGUGGAAUGCGUAGAUAUAUGGAAGAACACCAGUGGCGAAGGCGGCUCUCUGGUCUGCAACUGACGCUGAGGCUCGAAAGCAUGGGUAGCGAACAGGAUUAGAUACCCUGGUAGUCCACGCCGUAAACGAUGAGUGCUAAGUGU